GUGUUGUAUGAAAGGAGAGGAGAUUAGCACUCCGCUUGACAAGGAUGUAAGAGGCUCUCAGGCCUGUACGACAUGCAUACGGAAAUUUUUUA
rnacentral:ncRNA from 1 species